rnacentral:misc_RNA from 1 species
UUUCUAGAUGCAAUGUUUUAUAUUUAAGAUCAAUAAGAACUUGUAGAUGCAGCAGAAAAUCUUAGUAGCGAUAUUUGGUCGAAUAGUCCUUAGGUGCAAUGACUAAACCCCGUCCUUUCCUUGCUCCACGAUAGACUGUUUCAAUGAUAUCAAUGAACUCCUGCUUAUCCUUAAGUGCCCAGUUUAUCUUAUUGUUGUUUCCAGUACCAAGAUCAAUCAUUAUGUGCUUGUUUCUAAAGAAGAACAUGACAGUGGAAGGAUCAUACAGCUCGUACAUUGUGUUGAAAUCAGGAACCUCUGUGAUAUCCACAAGGUAUAUUACAGCAAAG